CGGGGUUGGGUUGUAACAAGCUUGGUAUUAGAGCAGAGGUUCAUGGUCGUUGGGUGUCCAUAAAGACAUGUCAAGUAGAGUGCUUUUUAUGGGUGUGUAGGUGCCACACAUUUUAGAGGGAGGCUACAAGGCAUUUUGGAAUGUUUCCCUUUAUCAUGUUCUAUUUCAGGCUACAUAGUUUGGUGUCUUGAAAUUCAUCUAAUCUUUCACUUACUCAUAUUUUAGAUCAUGC
rnacentral:lncRNA from 1 species